rnacentral:rRNA from 1 species
GUGCUUAACACAUGCAAGUCGAACGGAAAGGCCCUGCUUUUGUGGGGUGCUCGAGUGGCGAACGGGUGAGUAACACGUGAGUAACCUGCCCUUGACUUUGGGAUAACUUCAGGAAACUGGGGCUAAUACCGGAUAGGAGCUCCUGCUGCAUGGUGGGGGUUGGAAAGUUUCGGCGGUUGGGGAUGGACUCGCGGCUUAUCAGCUUGUUGGUGGGGUAGUGGCUUACCAAGGCUUUGACGGGUAGCCGGCCUGAGAGGGUGACCGGCCACAUUGGGACUGAGAUACGGCCCAGACUCCUACGGGAGGCAGCAGUGGGGAAUAUUGCACAAUGGGCGGAAGCCUGAUGCAGCAACGCCGCGUGCGGGAUGACGGCCUUCGGGUUGUAAACCGCUUUCGCCUGUGACGAAGCGUGAGUGACGGUAAUGGGUAAAGAAGCACCGGCUAACUACGUGCCAGCAGCCGCGGUGAUACGUAGGGUGCGAGCGUUGUCCGGAUUUAUUGGGCGUAAAGGGCUCGUAGGUGGUUGAUCGCGUCGGAAGUGUAAUCUUGGGGCUUAACCCUGAGCGUGCUUUCGAUACGGGUUGACUUGAGGAAGGUAGGGGAGAAUGGAAUUCCUGGUGGAGCGGUGGAAUGCGCAGAUAUCAGGAGGAACACCAGUGGCGAAGGCGGUUCUCUGGGCCUUUCCUGACGCUGAGGAGCGAAAGCGUGGGGAGCGAACAGGCUUAGAUACCCUGGUAGUCCACGCUGUAAACGGUGGGUACUAGGUGUGGGGUCCAUUCCACGGGUUCCGUGCCGUAGCUAACGCUUUAAGUACCCCGCCUGGGGAGUACGGCCGCAAGGCUAAAACUCAAAGGAAUUGACGGGGCCCCGCACAAGCGGCGGAGCAUGCGGAUUAAUUCGAUGCAACGCGUAGAACCUUACCCGGGUUUGACAUGGAUCGGGAGUGCUCAGAGAUGGGUGUGCCUCUUUUGGGGUCGGUUCACAGGUGGUGCAUGGCUGUCGUCAGCUCGUGUCGUGAGAUGUUGGGUUAAGUCCCGCAACGAGCGCAACCCUUGUUCACUGUUGCCAGCACGUUAUGGUGGGGACUCAGUGGAGACCGCCGGGGUCAACUCGGAGGAAGGUGGGGAUGACGUCAAGUCAUCAUGCCCCUUAUGUCCAGGGCUUCACGCAUGCUACAAUGGCUGGUACAGAGAGUGGCGAGCCUGUGAGGGUGAGCGAAUCUCGGAAAGCCGGUCUCAGUUCGGAUUGGGGUCUGCAACUCGACCUCAUGAAGUCGGAGUCGCUAGUAAUCGCAGAUCAGCAACGCUGCGGUGAAUACGUUCCCGGGGCU